CGCAAUUCGAGUCGGUUUUUUUUUUUUUUUUUUCCUUUUAAAUUUUAAAAGGGAGGAGCAGUCGCCCGUUUCAGUUCAGGUAGAGAGACGGAUCCAUUCUCCGGUCGAACGGUUUUGAUUUGAGAUUUUUUGGAAAAGAAGAAGGAGAUGAGGCCCAUCUUGAUGAAAGGCCACGAGAGGCCGCUUACAUUCUUGAAGUACAACAGAGAAGGAGAUCUCCUCUUCUCCUGCGCUAAAGAUCAUACUCCAACUGUCUGGUUCGCCGACAAUGGUGAGCGACUGGGAACAUACAAAGGCCACAACGGUGCCGUCUGGUGCUGCGACGUCUCCCGGGAUUCAAUGCGCCUCAUAACUGGAAGUGCGGAUCAGACUGCAAAGCUUUGGAAUGUUCAAACGGGCGCUCAAUUAUACUCAUUCAACUUUGAUUCCCCUGUGAGAGCGGUGGAUCUCGCUGUUGGAGACAAGCUGGCUGUGAUCACCACUGAUCCAUUCAUGGAGCAAACAUCAGCCAUUCAUGUGAAGCGCAUUUCAAGAGAUCCCACAGAAGAGACUGGGGAAUCUGUGCUGACAAUCAGAGGCCCCCAAGGGAGGAUCAACAGAGCUGUCUGGGGACCCUUAAACCGGACAAUUAUAAGUGGUGGUGAAGACGCAGUUAUCCGCACAUGGGAUUCUGAAACGGGAAAAUUGCUCAAGGAAUCUGACAAAGGAACUGGUCAUCAGAAAACAAUCACGUCACUGUCAAAAUCCUCAGACGGGUUUCACUUUCUCACCGGUUCCUUGGAUAAAUCUGCCAAGCUCUGGGACAUCAGAACACUUACUCUCAUCAAGACAUAUGUUACGGAACGGCCAGUUAAUGCAUGUACAAUUUCACCGCUUCUUGAUCAUGUGGUGAUUGGAGGCGGUCAAGAUGCAUUGCAUGUUACCACAACAGACCGUCGUGCAGGGAAGUUUGAAGCAAAAUUCUUCCACAAGAUUCUUCAGGAAGAAAUCGGGGGUGUCAAAGGGCACUUUGGACCAAUAAAUGCGCUAGCAUUCAAUCCCGAUGGGAGAAGGGCUUCCCUGAAGGCUUCUUAAAGAAAUAGUUUUUGAGGAAAGGUGAACGGUGGAACAGAGAUGAGAAGAAAUACAAAGAAGAGGAAGGCCAAGAAAGGUUCCUUGGAGGGACCCACCAUUUACAGCCACCGUCACUGAUUGGAGGAAUUGUCUUCCCUCUUGGAAGAAGAGAGAUCUCUCGAGGACAUUCUUAGGGUUGAUUAUGCUAGAUUGGUUAGGCAGUAGGAGAUCAAAUGGAGGCAAAGGUCUUGAGCUCUUUGGUUGAAAGCUGGAGACAAAAACACCAACAAUUUUCACGCCAUGGCCGGUGCAAGGGCUUAAUCAAGCAAGAUCAGUAGCAUAAUUGUCAAUGGCUUUAAAUCUGAGGAUCAUCGGCAGGUAACUGAUGACAUAAGAAGAGAAUUGAGCCCACAUUUGUGUCAAAUGGUAUUAAAGCAAAUGGAGAAGAGAGAUGGCAAGCAACAACGUUGGGAUCAAUCCUUCUCAAUGGACGAUCCUGAUUUUCAAAGCUGAUGAUUGUGAUUUUUGGAGCACAAAGAUGAGGACUCUUUUCUCUCACAAGAUUUGUGGGAAUUGUGGAGAAAGGCUAUGAUGUUGCUGAUUUUUCUGCAGAAAAUCUCAAAGAAGUCGGAAGGAUCCUAAAUCACUCUUUUUCAUCCACCAACCUGUGGAUGAAACCAUCUACCCUUGAAUUUCGGCAGCAACCAAAUUUAAAGAGGCAUGGGAUGCUUUGCAUAAAGAGUACCAUGGUGAUGCCGAGGUUUUGACUGUUAAACUCUAAGGAGGUGUUUGGUGCAUGGUAUUAGAUGGGAUUAGGUGGGAUGGAAUUGCAUUUGUCUCGUGCAAAUUCCAUCCAGCGUUUGGGGAGGAUGGGAAGGGUUGGGAUGGAAUUACAUUUGGUACCAUGCAGGAUUUCUAUGGAUUUUGAAAUCCACUAAACAUGUGGGCCCCACAUUGACGCGUAUGUUUUAUCCAUGCCGUCCAUCCAUAUACGCCCUUUACAUGUGGCAUUCUACUCAUAUACGUGUACAAGUGACCAACAUCCGUUGUGAAUUUGGCUUGUUGAUUACAAUUCCAUGGUCCACCAAACAGGGUUUUGCUUAUUCCAGUGUUUUUCCCAUAGCAAGAAUUUUAUCCCAAACAUGGGAUUGGAUGACCAAAAUACCAUGGUAUUCCCAGACAUGCAAUCAUUGUGCAAUAAUGGUGUUAAUCCCAUCUAAUACAAUUCCAUACCAUUUAAUCCCACGGACCAAACAGGCCCUAACUCUUUGUAGAAAGUUAGAGAAUUUGAAUAUGAAAGAUAGUGCUUCUAUGCUAGAUUAUUUUUCCAGUGUGCUGGAAAUUGUGAAUCAAAUAGGAAUUUAUGGUGAAAAUUUAUCUGAUCAAAGGGUUGUUGAAUUUUUUGGUGGAGUUUGCCUAUGAAAUAUGAUCAUGUUGUGGUUGCAAUUGGAGGUCCAAAGACCUGAGCACUUGGCCCAUUAGUGAGUGUUAUCGGGAUCUCUUCUGUCACAUGAAGAUAGACUAAUAGAUCCUGUGAAAAUUCUAUUGAGAACGCAUUUCACAUUAAGCUGAAUUUGUCAAAAGAAAAGGAGAAUGGUGGUGCAGGCAAUUCUAAUAAUAGAAAUUCAGCUAACGGAGGAUGUGGAAGGCGUUAUAUUCCAGAGAAAGAAGAGGUGGAGGACGAUCUGGUGGCAAGUAUCAAAGAAAACGGAAAGGUAAUGAUCAAGGUGAUACUUGAAAACCCCCCCAAUGUUACUACUACAAAAUAUUUGGGUCUAUUGAAAUUUUUUGCAGAAUAAAGGGGAAGAAAGAAAAAUUUGCCAACGAGAACAUAAGAAAAUGAAAGCUUAUUUCUUGCAUGCAGUGUUUGUCAUAUGCGACCGCAUAUGUAAAAUGCAACCGCAAGCAAAAUUUGUGAACGAGAAUGAAAGAAAAUGAAAGCUUAUUUCUUGCGUGCAGUGUUGUCAUAUGCGACCGCAUAUGCAAAAUGGGCCAUCAAAAUCACAUAUGCGAAAAUUAAAGUAUGCCAUCGCAUACUGUGCCAUGGUUUUGUGAUUGCUUAUGUGAGUAUGCCAUUGCAUACACAUUAUGCGAUGGCAUGAUGCCCAAUGUUCAGAUUUUUACUGUUGGGGCUUUUAUAUAUAUAUAUAUAUAUAUAUAUAUAUAUAUAUAUAUAUAUACAUAUAUUCUUUUCCCCACCUUUUAGCAAAUAAAUAGGCACUCCAAAUUAUGAGCAUGUAUUUUAUAUGCAUUGGAAUCUGUGCGAAUUGUAAUUGAUGUGAUUUGGAAUCACAAGGUCUUGUUAUGUUUUCAAAACAAGGGGCUUUUGAUGUAUUUGGUGUGAAUUAGAUUCCAAUAAUCCAAUUCACGCCAAAUACACUCCCAAACACACCGAAAUUGCUGGUUCACAACAAUUACCACUGAAUACAUGCUCCCAAACGACCCCUUAUUGGAUUCAUUGCCCAACUCACUGCAUUGAUUCAAUGCUACAUGACAAGGGAAUAUUAUACAUGUGACAGAAAUUGUUGAUAGCGGUAGGUUGAUCACAACCAUCAUCUAUAAUCACAUGUGACUGCUUAGCCUAAUGAGAAAGCACACAAGAAAAGAAGAACCACUGCAGACAUGGAUUUUGUGUUUUGCCUCCUCCGCACAUAGACUUGAGAGCUUGACAAGACCCAAGGUUCCUCCAGCAGGGAUGUUGAACUAUAUGAGCAGUUGUCAGCUAAAUUAAAAAUAUAUGACACUGAAGGAGAAGGGUAUGAUGUAACAAAUGGCCAUACAAGCUGGUUGAUCAAAGGUUUGACCCGUCCAAAUUUUCAGAUUGUCUUGAUUGAUGACCUGGACCAGAUCAACGGUCUGAUGAUAAAUUUGAUGAGAUAAAUGAUCAGCUUGCACUGUGGGCCUAUGGGAUCAAUGAAGGGGCCAUUAAAUUUAUAGGGUUUAAUUAUUCUAUGUCGAUUUUUAAGGUUAGAUUUGGUCAUGAAUUAAUUAAUAAUUUUCUUUGUAUUUUCGUCAUUUUUCUAGUGGGCCACUUUUUAGGCACCAAGCAAUGUCAGAAUCAUAUGAAAUUGGUUGCAUUUGAUAGUCUAUUGAGUUACUUCCAAAGCAACCCAAGGUUAUGUGAUUUGGAUACUAUUUUUCUCUGCUAUGCCUAUGUAAGGCUGCACUUGGGAUGUGUAUUUUCUUUUUUUGACAUGAAGAAAUAAAUAGUUGGGUUCCCUUUC